rnacentral:lncRNA from 1 species
AGUUCUACAAGGCUGCUUUCGGUGCUGUGGAGCUCGAGCGCUCAACUCACCCCAAGCGUAAGGCGGAGCAAGAGCGCCCGUUUAUCCUCUCUGCUCAGCUCAAACUCGGCUCCUCCACAUUUCUCGUCUCUGACAACACUGAAGACUCCGGCGAGCCGUAAGUCUCGCUUUCCCUCACUAACUUUACGCUAUGUUUGAAAUACUUGUGCUGUAGUAUUAGAUCCUUUUAGAUCCACAUGAUAUGAUAAGCUGAAAUAGCAUUUAAAUGAGUUAACACAUACUAUUUCAUUGUGUUCUAUUUUUGUAUUUUUAUGUUAUUUUCUUUUAAUUUUCUCUAAGUUUUAAAUAAUAUUUGCUAGUAUUUCUACUUGUGUUUUCAUUUUUAUUUGCUGUUAUAUUUUAUCUUCAGCAUUCUUAAAAUAUUUAUCAAAUAACAUUGAGACGCUAUUUUUCUUCUGUAUGAGUUGUUGUAACCUACUUGUGGUCUGCAAAAAUUAGCUAAAAUGAUAGAUCUAACUAUUUAUACUCUAGUUCUUGAUUUUAGCUCAAGUCGACUGUGGUGCUUUGAUGGAAUUUUGGUUUUGAGUUUUAGCCGAGAUAUUUUAUUUCCAGAUUUUAAGAUGUAUAAUAAUUUAUUUUUGUUCAAACAGCGUGAAUGUUGUGGGUUCUGGUGCCAUUGCUCUCUGGCUUGAGACGCCUGACAUCGGAGCUGCUGUAGCCAAGGCGGUGCUGGCCGGAGCUGUCUCUGAGGGAGAGAUAACAACUGGCGUUUUCUCUGACCCGGACCAGCCUGUGGGGAAGGUCAGGGACCCUUUCGGCUUUCUCUGGUUCUUCACCAGCCCGGUUGCCAAGAAGGCCGCAGCUGAGUCGGAAGCUCCC